AGCUUUGCGCAGUGGCAGUAUCGUAGCCAAUGAGGUUUAUCCGAGGCGCAAUUAUUGCUAAUUCAAAAUAGAAAAAGCGGUAAAAAGCUUCCAGGACAAACAGAAAAUAAAAGAAUUUGUGAUCACCAAACCAGCGC
ensembl:snRNA U4 U4 spliceosomal RNA